AGGGGGGCCUUACACAUGCAGUCGAGCGGAACGAUCCUAGCUUGCUAGGAGGCGUCGAGCGGCGGACGGGUGAGUAACGCAUAGGAAUCUACCCAGUCGUGGGGGAUAACCUGAGGAAACUCAGGCUAAUACCGCAUACGUCCUACGGGAGAAAGCGGGGGCUCUUCGGACCUCGCGCGAUUGGAUGAGCCUAUGUCGGAUUAGCUAGUUGGUAAGGUAACGGCUUACCAAGGCGACGAUCCGUAGCUGGUCUGAGAGGAUGAUCAGCCACACCGGGACUGAGACACGGCCCGGACUCCUACGGGAGGCAGCAGUGGGGAAUAUUGGACAAUGGGCGAAAGCCUGAUCCAGCCAUGCCGCGUGUGUGAAGAAGGCUUUCGGGUUGUAAAGCACUUUCAGCGAGGAAGAAAGCGUGCCGUUUAAUACACGGUACGGACGACAUCACUCGCAGAAGAAGCACCGGCUAACUCCGUGCCAGCAGCCGCGGUAAUACGGAGGGUGCAAGCGUUAAUCGGAAUUACUGGGCGUAAAGCGCGCGUAGGCGGCGUGUCACGCCGGGUGUGAAAGCCCCGGGCUCAACCUGGGAACGGCAUCCGGAACGGGCAGGCUAGAGUGCAGGAGAGGAAGGUAGAAUUCCCGGUGUAGCGGUGAAAUGCGUAGAGAUCGGGAGGAAUACCAGUGGCGAAGGCGGCCUUCUGGACUGACACUGACGCUGAGGUGCGAAAGCGUGGGUAGCAAACAGGAUUAGAUACCCUGGUAGUCCACGCCGUAAACGAUGUCGACUAGCCGUUGGGUCCCUUGAGGACUUAGUGGCGCAGUUAACGCGAUAAGUCGACCGCCUGGGGAGUACGGCCGCAAGGUUAAAACUCAAAUGAAUUGACGGGGGCCCGCACAAGCGGUGGAGCAUGUGGUUUAAUUCGAUGCAACGCGAAGAACCUUACCUACCCUUGACAUCCUGCGAACCCGGAAGAGAUUCCGGGGUGCCUUCGGGAGCGCAGAGACAGGUGCUGCAUGGCUGUCGUCAGCUCGUGUUGUGAAAUGUUGGGUUAAGUCCCGUAACGAGCGCAACCCUUGUCCCUAUUUGCCAGCGAUUCGGUCGGGACUCUAGGGAGACUGCCGGUGACAACUGAGAGUGGGGACGACGUCAAGUCAUCAUGUCCUACGGUAGGCUACACACGUGCUACAUUGCUGUACAAGGAUUGCGUAAAGGCGCCGCGAGAGCCUUGUGA
rnacentral:rRNA from 1 species